rnacentral:rRNA from 1 species
GACGAACGCUGGCGGCGUGCUUAACACAUGCAAGUCGAACGAAGUGGCGAACGGGUGAGUAAAGCGUAAUCAACCUGCCCUUCAGAGGGGGACAACAGUUGGAAACGACUGCUAAUACCGCAUACUGAAGGAGGGGAUUGCGUCUGAUUAGCUAGGUGGAGGGGUAACGGACCACCAAGGCGAUGAUCAGUAGCCGGUCUGAGAGAAUGAACGGCCACAGUGGGACUGAGACACGGCCCAGACACCAACGGGAGGCAGCAGUGGGGAAUCUUCCGCAAUGGACGAAAGUCUGACGGGACAACGCCGCGUGAGUGAUGACGGCCUUCGGGUUGUAAAGAUCUGUUAAUCGGGACGCGGUACCGGAAUAGAAAGCCACGGCUAACUACGUGCCAGCAGCCGCGGUAAUUC